rnacentral:rRNA from 1 species
UACGAGGGGGGCAAGCGUUGUUCGGAAUUAUUGGGCGUAAAGAGCGUGUAGGCGGCCUGAAAGGUCAGCUGUGAAAACUCGAGGCUCAACCUCGAGACGUCGGUUGAAACCAUCUGGCUAGAGUCCGGAAGAGGAGUGUGGAAUUCCCGGUGUAGCGGUGAAAUGCGCAGAUAUCGGGAAGAACACCCGUGGCGAAGGCGGCACUCUGGGACGGUACUGACGCUGAGACGCGAAAGCGUGGGGAGCGAACAGG